rnacentral:rRNA from 1 species
GUGUCAGCAGCCGCGGUAAGACGUAGGGCGCGAGCGUUGUCCGGAUUUAUUGGGCGUAAAGAGCUCGUAGGCGGCUUGUUGCGUCGACCGUGAAAACCCGGGGCUCAACUUCGGGCUUGCGGUCGAUACGGGCGGGCUAGAGUUCGGUAGGGGAGACUGGAAUUCCUGGUGUAGCGGUGAAAUGCGCAGAUAUCAGGAGGAACACCGGUGGCGAAGGCGGGUCUCUGGGCCGAUACUGACGCUGAGGAGCGAAAGCGUGGGGAGCGAACAGGAUUAGAUACCCCCGUAGUCC